GAUGGAGGCGGUAACAGUACCAACUUGGACACUGAAAACACAGGCACCUACAAAAGGCCACCGAAGAUGCAGUCAAUUAAAGAAAGAAAUUAUGCUGAUGACGCUGAUGACGACAUGAGUGAUGUUUCUGGCAGUGAAUAUGGCGAUGGAGGGGUGUGCCAUAAGACAGUUAAGAAGACUGUCAAGAAAAAAAAGACAAUGUUGGGAAGACAU